rnacentral:rRNA from 1 species
GACGAACGCUGGCGGCGUGCUUAACACAUGCAAGUCGAGCGGAAAGGCCCUUCGGGGUACUCGAGCGGCGAACGGGUGAGUAACACGUGAGUAAUCUGCCCCGUACUCUGGGAUAGCCUUGGGAAACUGAGAUUAAUACCGGAUAUGAAACGCAUUCGCAUGGGUGUGUUUGGAAAGUUUUUCGGUACGGGAUGUGCUCGCGGCCUAUCAGCUUGUUGGUGAGGUAAUGGCUCACCAAGGCUUCGACGGGUAGCCGGCCUGAGAGGGUGACCGGCCACACUGGGACUGAGACACGGCCCAGACUCCUACGGGAGGCUG